AAUUGGCUCACUCUUCUUAAUGUGAAUUCUUAUGCAUUCUCUAGAUUUAUUUAUUCAUAGCUACUGAGACAGAAAGAGUAGGUAGAGGAAGGACAUUCGUACAUUUGGAUGCUUUCCUCAGAGCCCUUAGUUCAUGUAAACUGAGGAAUGCAUGACUUAUUCACAGAGAGGCAGUGGUCUAGUUCCAUAUGGGUGCUGUGUGCUUAUACAGAGCUCUCAGGGUAGGGAAAUAGGGCCCAUGAAAAUCAAGAGUUGCAUAACUGCACCAAAGCAACAGAACGAUACCCACCAGGAUUUGUCAAUUGAAAGAUCUUAAAAUGUAAAGAUGUUGAUUUGUCCUGCUGUCAUAAGGAAGUUGUGGCAAUUAAGUUGCCCACAUAGACAUUUAACCUCCCCUGAAGUUACUAAAUCUCAUGAUGAAUAAAUAAAGAUGCAUGAUGAAUUUUUAGAACUCUAUGGACUAAAGCUGAGUGACUGAUCUAAAACAUCAAUGUUUUUCAAUGACCAGAAAAUGUCCAUCAAAUCAGAGUGAUCAUUUGGAGUGAGAAGUGGCCUACUUUAGGUACCUUGUGGGCCUUUCUUUGCUGGCCUAUAAAACAUUGGAAAUUAAUUCCGGCUUCUCAAAAAUAUGACCAGUGACAAGAGUGGAAAACAGUCCUUUGGAGGGUAGGGAAGCUUUCCUCCAAAGAGCACUGAGCCCCACAGGGCACACCAAAAACUAGGUGACAUGGAACCUUGUGUUCAGAAGGGUCACACAGAUGGGAUGCUGUUGGCAAUGUUUUACAAAGGUGCAGAAUCAAAGUGGACCCAAGGCACAGCUACUGGGGAGAAU
rnacentral:lncRNA from 1 species